rnacentral:rRNA from 1 species
UACGGAGGGGCUAGCGUUGUUCGGAAUUACUGGGCGUAAAGCGCACGUAGGCGGCUUGUAAGUUAGAGGUGAAAGCCCAGAGCUCAACUCUGGAACUGCCUUUAAGACUGCAUCGCUUGAAUCAUGGAGAGGUUAGUGGAAUUCCGAGUGUAGAGGUGAAAUUCGUAGAUAUUCGGAAGAACACCAGUGGCGAAGGCGACUAACUGGACAUGUAUUGACGACUGAGGUGGCGAAAAGCGUGGGGAGCAA